UGGGGAAUAUUGCACAAUGGGCGCAAGCCUGAUGCAGCCAUGCCGCGUGUAUGAAGAAGGCCUUCGGGUUGUAAAGUACUUUCAGUCGGGAGGAAGGUGGUAAGGUUAAUAACCUUGGCAAUUGACGUUACCGACAGAAGUAGCACCGGCUAACUCCGUGCCAGCAGCCGCGGUAAUACGGAGGGUGCAAGCGUUAAUCGGAAUUACUGGGCGUAAAGCGCACGCAGGCGGUUGAUUGAGUCAGAUGUGAAAUCCCCGGGCUUAACCCGGGAAUUGCAUCUGAUACUGGUCAGCUAGAGUCUUGUAGAGGGGGGUAGAAUUCCAUGUGUAGCGGUGAAAUGCGUAGAGAUGUGGAGGAAUACCGGUGGCGAAGGCGGCCCCCUGGACAAAGACUGACGCUCAGGUGCGAAAGCGUGGGGAGCAAACAGG
rnacentral:rRNA from 1 species